CUGUGCUCCAGCUCUCGGAGCGCCACUGCCCAGGGAACUCCACACGCACAGACAAACACCCAAUAACACGAACCGGCGGAACCAUCGGCCCGCGGCCAGCGGAGGAGCCACUUCAGGCUAAACAAUCCCAACUCUGUCAGCCUUUUAUCACAGCAGAGCUGCUCCAUGCCCUUGAUCAUCCUGGUGCCUCCUCUGGAUACUCCAACAGGUCCGUGUUCCUCCUCUGCUGGGACCCCAGAGCUGGAGGCAGCAUCCAGCAGGCACUGAAACGUGUCAAAAUCCUCGCCCACAACUGAAGGACAAUGGAAGCAACCUAUAAAUCAUGGUGCUCUUUGGCAAAAAUGAAUUAAGCUUGCCUUCAGAUUUUGUACCCUGGUCUUGCC